rnacentral:rRNA from 1 species
GAACGAGGAUAUAUCCUUCGGGAUAUAAGCCGAGUGGCGCAAGGGUGAGUAAUGCAUAGAUUACCUACCUCUAGGAUAAGGACAACUUUGUGAAAACGAAGCUAAUACUUAAUAACACAAGAGAAAAUAAUUUUCUUUUGUCAAUGGGAGGGUAGCAAUACCUUUUGCCUAGAGAGGGGUUUAUGUCCUAUCAGCUUGUUGGUGGGGUAAUGGCCUACCAAGGCGAAGACGGGUAGCCGGUCUUAGAGGAUGGUCGGCCACACUGGGACUGAGACACUGCCCAGACUUCUACGGAAGGCUGCAGUCGAGAAUCUUUCGCAAUGCCCGAAAGGGUGACGAAGCGACGCCGCGUGAGUGAGGAAGGCCUUCGGGUUGUAAAGCUCUGUCAGGAGUUAAGAAAUGUAAGUGUGCUAAUACCACAUUUACUUGACGAAGGCUCCAAAGGAAGCCACGGCUAACUCUGUGCCAGCAGCCGCGGUAAUACAGAGGUGGCAAGCGUUGUUCGGAAUUAUUGGGCGUAAAGAGCACGUAGGUGGGUUUGUAAGUCAGAUGUGAAAGCCUUCUGUUCAACGGAAGAAUUGCAUCUGAAACUGCAAGUCUUGAGUGCAGGAGGGGGGAAUGGAACUUCUGGUGGAGCGGUGAAAUGCGUAGAUAUCAGAAGGAACGCCGGCGGCGAAAGCGAUUCUCUGGCCUAUUACUGACACUCAGUGUGCGAAAGCUAGGGGAGCAAACGGGAUUAGAUACCCCGGUAGUCCUAGCCGUAAACGAUGGGCACUAAGUAGAGGGAAUUACCGAUGUUCUCUCUGCCGUAGCUAACGCAUUAAGUGCCCCGCCUGGGGAGUACGGCCGCAAGGCUAAAACUCAAAAGAAUUGACGGGGGCUCGCACAAGCGGUGGAGCAUGUGGCUUAAUUCGAUGCAACGCGAAAAACCUUACCGGGGCUUGACAUGGUAGAAGUAGGAACCCGAAAGGGUAACGAACGGUAUCCAGUCCGUAGCUAUCACAGGUGUUGCAUGGCUGUCGUCAGCUCGUGUCGUGAGACGUUGGGUUAAGUCCCCUAACGAGCGAAACCCUUGUUUUUAGUUACCAGCGGGUUAUGCCGGGUACUCUAGAAAGACUGCCGUCGUCAAGACGGAGGAAGGUGGGGAUGACGUCAAGUCAUCAUGGCCCUUAUGCCCCGGGCUGCACACGUGCUACAAUGGUCGGUACAAACGGAAGCGAAGCCGAGAGGUGGAGCGAAUCCUAAAAAGCCGAUCUCAGUUCGGAUUGGAGGCUGAAAUUCGCCUCUAUGAAGUUGGAAUCGCUAGUAAUCGCGGAUCAGCAUUGCUGCGGUGAAUAUGUUCCCGAGCCUUGUACACACCGCCCGUCAAGCCACCCAAGCAGGAUGCACCCGAAAACAUUAUAUCUAACCAGGCUUGCCUGGAGGAAAGUGUUGAAGGAGUGUUUUGUGAGGAGGACU